GGGUUAUUCACAAAAAUGAGAAUUCAAAUUGAAUUUCAAACUUAAGGUCAAAAAAGCUGAACCGGAAAAAUUCUUUAAAAUAACUAUGUAUUCAUUCUACUACUUUGGCCUUACAUUUGAAAUCCACUCUGUAUUCUCAUUUCACAUGUUAAUUCUUAAGGUCUUUCUUCUAGUGGGUUCAUAUCAAUCUCCGUAAGGAUGUUACAUCACAAGUCAGUGUCUUUUGGGCUCUGGAUCAUGCAAGUUAUUCCACAGUAAUUGAAAGAUGUUGCAAAAUUGUUGUGCUUUAUUUAUUGCAGAUUUAUGUUUUAUGUUUAGUUUGUGGUUAAUUUAGUGCACUUUAAUAG